AAUCUAAUUUACUAUCAGAUUAGGCACAUUAGCCUUAUCACUUUUUGCCCAUGUAUCCUGUAAUCAAUUUCAUGUUGCAUGAGCAGGAUGCUAAUGAAGAGUCAAAAACUGUCAUAAAAGCAGCUGCUAUGAAAGGUACUACAGAUGCUUCAUCAGAUUUUCGUCUUAUCACGAAUCUAUGCACUGAAACCUAAUGUUCUACUUGUUUAGCUUCUAUUAUCUGUCACUUGGAGCAUAAUUAAGUACAUCAUGGGUGCAGAAAUCAAGCACAGGAUGGAGAAUGACAUUGAUGAAGUUUUGCGAGUUGCCCGCACCACGAAAACAAAACUUGAAGAACUAGACAGAGAUGUAUGCUGCUUUCAUUUUCCAUCACUCUGGUCUCUCACAGUUCGGAAGUCGAGCCAGUCAAGUGUCUUGCCUUCGUGAUAAAAAUACUUCAACUUUGUUUUAAGAGCAAGCAAAAGAAGAAGUCCACUAUUGCCAAACUUGUAGGAGCUUAAGAACUUGUAGUCAACUAAGCUUAGGUUCUUUUGUCAUCCCUUACACAAAUAUAUUCAAGACUUUCAUUGUCCUAUUUAAACCAACAAACUUAUCCUUUAUUUACACAAAAAUAUUCUUACUUCAACCAACCAACACAUUUUUUUUGUUUUUUAGAAGAAAAACUUUCAUAUUAAUUUCUGUUAUCAGCUACCUUCAUCUUCCCUAAUUCUCCAAUUAUUGAUUUCCCCUCAAUUUGAAUCGAACGUUGAAACAAACUUUGAGAUUUUUUUAACCUUUAGAUUAUUUUUUUUUCUAAUAAUUCAUCUACUUUCCACCAAAAUUUUCUAGACACCCUUUGCUAUCUCUUCUGUUAACACCAACAAGACAUAUUUCCAUUCAAAUUUCCGGAUCCUAAAUAAACUCUUCUGUUCGUACUUGCAUUAUUUGAAUGUACACAUAAAUUGCAUUUUAUAUUCUUCUCUAGGUUAGCUAGGCACACUCAACCCAUAGUAGAGGCCUUUAAUCUAAUAAUGUCUAUCGAGGAAGGGAAAACUUUUCUGAACUUUAUUGUCUCAAGAUCUUAUAGCUAAAUCUCAUGUGAAUUCUCUUGUUGGAUCCUCUUUAAUCCUUGUGCUUGUUCCUAAUAAUAUAUCAGGGUAGGAAAACAAAAAUUCCACAUUUACAUUCUUUAUUAGCUGAUCAUGACCUUUAAUUACCUAUUUUCUUAGAACUUGGCCAAUAGGCAGAAGCCUGGAUGCGGAAAGGGAUCAAGCACCGAUCGAUCUAGAACUGCAACUACUGUGUAAUAUUUUGGUCCAAGCUGAUUCUAGUUGUCUUUUAAUUGAUAAGUAUUUUUAUCUGAAAGCAUGUCUUACAUUCUGAAUAUGCACAGAGCAUUGAAAAAGAAGCUGAAAGAAAAGAUGAGCCAGUUCCAGGUACAAAAACAUGCUUGAUGAUUUUGCAAUUUCCCAAUAUAUGCAUAUUUUCAUUUGAUUUGUCAUGUUUGGUAAAUUAACUUCAGAAUCACUGGCAUAAAAGAUCUGUCUCAUUUCAUCAUAUGCAAAAGUCAUAACAAGAUUUCGUCAUAAGAAUAUGCCUAAUGAGGUGUAAGAUGAAUAACAAAAAAAAAUAAUGCAAGUUAUUUUCCCUCUUUUAAAGCCGAAACUAUGGUUUUUUUCCAUGCAUUUAACCUCAUCAACCAUUGAGCCUAUGAAUUCUAAAGGAAAAUAUGCAUACUCACAAAUGAUAUUCCCAUUCUCACUUCAGUUAAAGCACGUGAUGAUCAUCUUUUUCCUGCAAAAUAUAUAAUAUCUUCACUUUAAUUGGUAAAUGAUAAUCUCAUUUUCUUAUUUUCAAAUGUGUAAUGCAGACUCUAAGAGAAACGAUACAGAAAGAAUACCGUGAGGUCAUCGAGAGAAGAGUCUUCACAGGUUCCCUUCUAACUCCAUGAAACCAUUCAUUACUCUCACAGCUUAUCUCCAAUGCUUUAUUGGAUGUUAUUCUCAGUUGUUAUGGUCAUUUGUCUGAUUUAUUUUCUCUUAUUUUGUUCCUAUAUUCCAUAUGAACAGUAAC
rnacentral:lncRNA from 1 species